rnacentral:rRNA from 1 species
GACGAACGCUGGCGGCGUGCUUAACACAUGCAAGUCGAACGGAAAGGCCCUGCUUUUGUGGGGUGCUCGAGUGGCGAACGGGUGAGUAACACGUGAGUAACCUGCCCCUGACUUUGUGAUAACUUCUGGAAACUGGGGCUAAUACCGGAUAGGAGCUCCUGCUGCACGGUGGGGGCUGGAAAGUUUCGGCGGUUGGGGAUGGACUCGCGGCUUUUCAGCUUGUUUGUGGGGUAGUGGCUUACCAAGGCUUUGACGGGUAGCCGGCCUGAGAGGGUGGCCGGCAUCUUUGGGACUGAGAGACGGCCCAGGCGCCUACGGGAAGCAGCAGUCAGGAAUAUUGCACAAUGGGCGGAAGCGUGAUGCAGCAACGCCGCGUGCGGGAUGACGUCCUUCUGGUGGUAAACCGCUUUCGCCUGUGACGAAGCGUGCGUGACGGUAAUGGGUAAAGAAGCACCGGCUAACUACGUG